UAUGAAGCGGUCUCUAGGAAAUGGGC
rnacentral:piRNA from 1 species